GGGACAGCUCAGUCAGUAGAGCAGGAGACUCUUAAUCUCAAGGUCAUGGGUUCGAGCUCUGCUUGGAGCA